rnacentral:tRNA from 1 species
AGGGGGGUAGUUUAUAUAAGAUUUAGAUUUGUCAAGUUUAAGAAGCCUGUGGGCUCCCCCUA